rnacentral:rRNA from 1 species
UGAUGUGAUCAUACCAGCACUAAAGCACCUAAUCCCAUCAAAACUCCAGAGUUAAGCAUGCUUGGGGACAGUAGUACUAGGAUAGGUGACCUUCCUAGGAAGUCCUCAUGUUGCAUUCC